rnacentral:lncRNA from 10 species
UGAGGGCUUUGGGCCGGCGGUCCCAGGGCAGCCCCGCGGGCCCGUGCCCAGGGCGCAGGAGCAGCCGGGUUGGCCUAAGGGACCUUAGUGCCGGGCGGAAAGGGGACUUUGGGUUGGGGAUUCAUGGGGGGAGCCCAUCUGGAGCUUGUCAGGGGAGCGAGCGCGGGGACCUGGACUGGGCUGAGCAUGGAGUGAGGAGGACGAGAGCAGAGAGACCCCCGGGACUUCAUCAGGCCUGGCAGCUGACUGCAUGUGGGGUGAAAAAAGGAAGCCACAGGACAGCGCACAAGGAAAGAGGAAAAAAAUGAAGGGAGGAGGAGGAGGAAGCUGGGGAGAUCACACCUUUGAUUUUCUUGUUCCUGGAAAGUGAAAGGAAGUUCACCUGCUAUGAGUGAGAAGGUGGACACACUGGGUGGGGAUGAGGCUGGAGUGCUGUGGCACCAUCAUGGCUCACUGCAGCCUCAACCUCCUGGGCUCAAGUGAUCCUCCUGCCUCAGCCUCCCAUGUAGCUAGAACUACAGAUACACGUACCACCAUGUCUGGCUAAUUUAUUUUUCUUUUUAGAGAUGGGUUCUCACUAUGUUGCCCAGGCCGGUCUCAAAACCCUGGGCUCAAGUGAUCCUCAUGCCUCAACCUCCCAAAGUGCUAAGAUUAUAGGCAUGACCACCAUGCCUGGCCUUUUCUGCUUUCUGAGGAGGAAAAAGGUACUGGUGGCAGAGAUCCAAAAGAAAAGUUGCCAGUGGCAGUGUGGAAAUUCACCUGAGAACAACAGGACAAGCUGGGGCACAAAUGCAAAGAUG